UGCCCAGUGCUUGAGGGGCACCAGAACUGCUUAAUCUUAAGCAAACAUGAAUCUUUGAAAAUGUAAAAUUUUAGCAGAAGUAAGUAGCUCACUGUGUGUGAAAGCACUGCAAUGAGGCCUUGGAGGACAUAGAGAAUUUCAAUUCCAUGUUCAUAUUAAAUGAGCAAAUCAUUUACCUCAGAGUGGUACAGUUCCAAAGCAAUUCGAGUUUCAUUUUGAGUUCUUGAGGAGUUUUAGGGCACUGCGUCCCAAAGUUCCACACAAAGGCAGCAGACGUAGUCACUGCAUAACUGGACUUAGUGCUCAUAUGGUUUCCUACAUGCACUACUUACCCUGUUGUAAGUAUCUCCAUUUCUAACCUGUGAGCUUCUUCAGGGAAGGAAUUAUACAUUUCAUAUCAGUGCUGCUAGCACUAAAACAUUGUGUGGCCUAGGCAAGGUCCUUAGUAAAUGUACAUAGAAUAAGCUAAUGAACUUCAGAAACUAAGUAAUCAUAACUGCAUAUUGGAAUAUACCAAAUACCAGUGAGUUUAAAAAUUCAGUGACCUUCAGAAUUCAUUACUUUUUACUAAACAUUGUUCCCCUCUUCUGGGUUAUUUUAGGUUACUUUCCCCAAAGUUGGAUUACAUAGACAAAGAGUAUGAAAAUUUCUCAAAGCAUCUGCUGCAUGCUAAGCAGUAGGUUGUUCUCUGCGUAGGAGAUGUAAGAGGCUAUGGCGCUAAUAUACCGUCACAAUGGAUUGAUCUGAUUGACAUCACAUUCCAACUUAAUCAUUGUUGUCCACAUGAGAUCUAAAGGAGGGGCUCUGCUUCAGGCUCCCAGAAAUAAAGAUCUGUGAUAUGGACUGAAUUUUUGUACCCCCCUCCAUUCGUAUGUCGAAACUCUAGUCCCCAAUGUGGUAAUAACAGGAGAUGGGGAAUUGGGGAAGUAAUUGAGUUCAGAUAAGGUCAUGAGGGUAGGGCUUAUAACAAAAAGAGAUAGGUGAUCUUUUUCUCUCUUUGUCUCUGUGUGUCUCUCUGUCCCUCUAGACCUCCUUCUUCUCUUCCUCCCUCCCCCUCUCUCACGUGAGGAUAUAAUGUUUGUUGUUUAAGCCACCUAGCCUACAGUAUUUUGUUGUACCACCCAAAUUGACUAUAAGACAGCUGCAUUUUUCUGUUAAGCAUCAGUCUAUAUCAGUCUAUAGUUUACAUAUCUCCAUAGAUUGCCGUCUGAGUGUUUUUGUUUGUGUAGAGAGAUUCUAACUAUUGAUAUUCUUACCAAAUGAAAAUUCUUUUUUUGAGCUAAUAAAAUGCAGCAGUUGUGACCAAGGAUUACAGAAGAAUGACAGUUGGCUAACAAAAUUUGGUGACGUAAUUUGUUUUACAUAGAAUCACAUGUGAUCACAAGUCCAAGUCUUCCCCUUUGGGGUCCUUGUCUUGGUACAUAUGCGCCCUUUGGUGUGAAACCUUGGCUUGCUCAUCUAUAGCAACAUUAGUCCAAUUUCCAAAGUACAGUAUAUUUCUUCCUCUAAAGUUUAUCCUUCAUAGAUUUCUGUUUUUCCCCUGCCACAGUCUUCAAGGUUCUGUGCAGCUACUAUUGAAAACAGUAUGGAGAUUUCUCAAAGGAAAUUAAGAAUAGAACUACUAUAGUGAUUAUACUACGUUAGAUUCCAACCAACAGUGAAGGAGGGUUCCCUUUUCUCUACAAGAACCAAAAAAAUAAAGAAAAAACCCCAAACCACCCAAUUGAAAAUGGGCAGAAGACCUAAAUAGACAUUUUUUCAAAGAAGACAUGUGGAUGGCCAGUAGGCCCAUGAAAAAAUGCUCAACACCACUAAUUAUUAGGGAAAUGCAAAUCAAAACUACAAUGAGGUAUCAUUUCACCCCAAUCAGAAUGGUCAUCAUUAAGAAGUCUGCAAAUAACAAAUGCUAGAGAGAGUAUGGAGAAAAUGGAACCUGAUGGAAGAUGGUAUGAGGAAAAGAAUGUAUGUACAUGUAUGUAUGACUGGGUCACUAUGCUGUAGGGAAGAAAUUGACCCAACACUGUAAAAUCAACUAUACUCUAAUAAAAAGAAUAAAACUAUCAUUUGACCCAGGUAUCCCACUUCUGGGUAUUUAUCUAAAAAAUGUGAAAACACAAAUUUAAAAAGAUAUAUGCACCCCAUGUUCAUUGUGGUAUUAUUUAACAUAACCAAGAUAUAGAAACAAGUGUCCAUCACAGAUGAAUGGAUAAAGAAGAUAUGGUGUAUAUAUAUAUAUACAAUGGAAUACUUUUCAACCAUAAAAAGAUGAAAUCUUGCCAUUUGCAACAACAUGAAUAGGUCUUGAUGAUACUACGCUAAGUGAAAUAAGUCAGAUAAAGACAAAUGCUGUAUAAUUUCACUCAUGUGGAUUAUAAAAAAACUAAUAAAUGAAUAAAUAAAUGAACACAACAUACCAAACAAAAACCAACCCAUAUAUACAGAGAACAGACUAAUGGUUUCCAGAGGAGGAGGAAUGGGGAGGGGAGAGAGAAAUGGAUAAAGGAGAUUAAGUGUAUGGUUAUGAAUGAAAUGGGAAAUUUUGGUGCUGAGUACAUUGUAUGGUGCAUAGAAAUAUGAAAUAUAAUGUACACAUGACAUUGAUAUGUUUCCUCAAUGAAAAUUAAAAUAUGUUAUUUAUUAUGAUGGAAAAUUAUAAUCAGCCUAAAUGAUGUACAACAGGAAAAUGGUUAAAUAAAAUAUGUUAUUUAU
rnacentral:lncRNA from 1 species